GACGAACGCUGGCGGCGUGCUUAACACAUGCAAGUCGAACGAAGAGCGAUGGACGCUUGCUUCUAUCAAUCUUAGUGGCGAACGGGUGAGUAACGCGUAAUCAACCUGCCCUUCAGAGGGGGACAACAGUUGGAAACGACUGCUAAUACCGCAUACGAUCUAAUCUCGGCAUCGAGGAAAGAUGAAAGGUGGCCUCUAUUUAUAAGCUAUCACUGAAGGAGGGGAUUGCGUCUGAUUAGCUAGUUGGAGGGGUAACGGCCCACCAAGGCGAUGAUCAGUAGCCGGUCUGAGAGGAUGAACGGCCACAUUGGGACUGAGACACGGCCCAGACUCCUACGGGAGGCAGCAGUGGGGAAUCUUCCGCAAUGGACGAAAGUCUGACGGAGCAACGCCGCGUGAGUGAUGACGGCCUUCGGGUUGUAAAGCUCUGUUAAUCGGGACGAAAGGCCUUCUUGCGAACAGUUAGAAGGAUUGACGGUACCGGAAUAGAAAGCCACGGCUAACUACGUG
rnacentral:rRNA from 1 species